AUACGUGUCAACUUCUCAAUUGGU
rnacentral:siRNA from 1 species